rnacentral:piRNA from 1 species
UUACUUAAUGAGAAAAAGUGA